UUGCAUGCUGGGAUAGCUGCCCAUAAUCCACCGCUCCCAGUGCUGCUGCAAGUGCCACAAAUGUGGCCACGUCAGUGCACAAGCAGCUGUUGGUGUGGACAGACUGCAGCACUUUCCCUACUGAGCUCUCAGAAGGUGGGUUUAACUCACAGCUCUCUACAUCUGCAAGUGUAGCCAGUCGAUGGGCUGGAGGCAGAGCAACAGCAACAAGGAGCCAGAAGAGGCAAAGCUGGGGAGCUGGAGCAGUGCAGACCAGCCAUGCCGAGGGGGCCCCAGGGCUGAGCCACCGCAGGAAGCUGCAGACCCAGAGCUGGGGAGUGGAUGCCUGCUGCGCCACAAGUAACACCAGAGAUGAGUGCGGUGUGUUGAAGAGAGACCCAAACAGAAUUCAUCUGGAAAAAGGGACCCUGAAGGAACAUUUAAAGCAAGCAAAAAAUGAGGGAUUCUUAUGGCUCCACAAGCAACACGUGGGGUCAGCUCUGAGGAUAAAAAAAAAAUAUCUAAGAAAGUUAUAAAGUGCAUGAAAUCACAGAUGCAUAGUACCUCUGGUGAUUGUGCAAGAAGCUGGAACUAUUUUUCCAUGAUCCUGCCAAAAAGAACCAUGCGUGGCACCACUAAGUACGGAAUUUCCAAAGUGUUCUGGCUUGCACUUAUUCAUCAAGGAUUGCAUCAAUGGUAGAUGGCUGGUGGAAGUCCCCACUGUGCUAGUUCAGUCUCAGAAGAUGAAUAGGGAGCAUGAUGCAGUUCCUGAAUAGUCCCUUUCUACCAGCAGCACUUUAAAAAUACUGAUUGUUCUCUUUGUCACAUCAUAUACAGUUUUAUCUACGACAGGCAUUUGACUUUGGACUGUAACUUCCUGGCCAAGUGUAAACACCUUCCCAUACUCCAUUAAAGCAAGACACACCAUGAGGCUUCGCACUGUGCAUUAGAGAAGGAGGAGCUGGCAUGAAAAGGGGCAUCACCUACCACAUGAGGGAGCUCUGAGUUAUCCUCAGCUGCAGUUCACCAGAAGCAGCAGCCAUUGCAAAAGCACUAUACUUUGGAAUGGAUAUGGGAGGUCUCUGGCAAUUAGGUUUCAUAGCAGAAGAUAUUAAUGUGGAAUCUUUUAUUUCAACAGCCACCACAGCUGGCUACUAGAACAAAAUUUUAAAAAACA